ensembl:snoRNA
AUCCUUUUGGGGAUCGUAAUCAUGAUGACUGAGUUUUCACGCUAAUAUAAUGAGCUGGGCUUCCUUCAAACCUUGUUAUGAUGUUGGCACAUUAUCCAUCUUACA